rnacentral:rRNA from 1 species
GACGAACGCUGGCGGCGGGCUUAACACAUGCAAGUCGAACGGAAAGGCCCUGCGUUUUUGCGCUUCUCGAUGGGCGACCGGGUGAGUAACACGUGAGUAACCUGCCCUUCAUUUUGGGAUAACUUCAGGAAACUGGGCCUAAUACCGUAUAGGAGAUCCUGCUGCAGGGUGAGCGUUGGAUAUUCUCGGCGGGUGGGGAUGGAUGCGCGGCUUAUCGGCUAGCUAGUGGGGUAGUGGCUUGCCCAGCCUUUGACGGGUAGGCCACCUGUGAGGGUGACCGGCCACAUUGGGACUACGAUACGGACCAGACUGCUACGGGAGGCAGCAGUGGCGAAUCUUACACAAUGGGCGCACGCGUGAUACAGCAGCGCCGCGUUCGGGAUGACGGCCUUCGGGUUGUAAACCGCUUUCGCCUGUGACGACGCGUGAGUGACGGUAAUGGGUAAAGAAGCACCGGCUAACUACGUG